rnacentral:rRNA from 1 species
UGCAGUCGAGCGGAUGAGGGAGCUUGCUCCUGGAUUCAGCGGCGGACGGGUGAGUAAUGCCUAGGAAUCUGCCUGGUAGUGGGGGAUAACGUCCGGAAACGGGCGCUAAUACCGCAUACGUCCUGAGGGAGAAAGUGGGGGAUCUUCGGACCUCACGCUAUCAGAUGAGCCUAGGUCGGAUUAGCUAGUUGGUGGGGUAAAGGCCUACCAAGGCGACGAUCCGUAACUGGUCUGAGAGGAUGAUCAGUCACACUGGAACUGAGACACGGUCCAGACUCCUACGGGAGGCAGCAGUGGGGAAUAUUGGACAAUGGGCGAAAGCCUGAUCCAGCCAUGCCGCGUGUGUGAAGAAGGUCUUCGGAUUGUAAAGCACUUUAAGUUGGGAGGAAGGGCAGUAAGUUAAUACCUUGCUGUUUUGACGUUACCAACAGAAUAAGCACCGGCUAACUUCGUGCCAGCAGCCGCGGUAAUACGAAGGGUGCAAGCGUUAAUCGGAAUUACUGGGCGUAAAGCGCGCGUAGGUGGUUCAGCAAGUUGGAUGUGAAAUCCCCGGGCUCAACCUGGGAACUGCAUCCAAAACUACUGAGCUAGAGUACGGUAGAG